rnacentral:rRNA from 1 species
GAUGAACGCUAGCGACAGGCUUAACACAUGCAAGUCGAGGGGCAGCACGGGAGUAGCAAUACAACUGGUGGCGACCGGCGCACGGGUGAGUAACGCGUAUGCAACCUACCUAUCAGAGGGGAAUAACCCGGCGAAAGUCGGACUAAUACCGCAUAAAACAGGGGCACCGCAUGGUGAUAUUUGUUAAAGAAAUUCGCUGAUAGAUGGGCAUGCGUUCCAUUAGGUAGUUGGUGAGGUAACGGCUCACCAAGCCGACGAUGGCUAGGGGAACUGUGAGGUUGUUCACCCACAAUGGGACUGAGACACGGACCAGACUCCUACGGGAGGCAGCAGUGAGGAAGAUUGGUCAAUGGGCGGGAGCCUGAACCAGCCAAUUCGCGUGAAGGAAGAAGGAUCUAUGGUUCGUAAACUUCUUUUGCAGGGGAAUAAAGUGCAGGACGUGUCCUGUUUUGUAUGUACCCUGAGAAUAAGGAUCGGCUAACUCCGUGCCAGCCGCCGCUGUAACAC